CAACGGCCGCGGUAUCAUGACCGUGCAAAGGUAGCGUAAUCACUUGUCUUUUAAAUAAAGACCUGUAUGAAAGGCAAAACGAAAGUUCAACUGUCUCUUUAAUCCAAUCAAUGAAAUUUAUCUUUUCGUGCAGAAGCGGAAAUAAAUAUAUAAGACGAGAAGACCCUAUGGAGCUUUAAACACACUAUUAACUACCAUAAUAAUUUAAACCAACAGGAAAAAAAUCAUAAACAUACAGCUAUAAUACAAGUUUUGGGUUGGGGCGACCGCGGAGAAAAAAAAAUCCUCCGAGAUAAACAAUUUAGAAUAACACUUCGAAAAUUAAAAUAUUUAUUAUAAAUGAUCCACUAAGUGAUCAACGAACCAAGUUACCCUAGGGAUAACAGCGCAAUCCUUUCUAAGAGUCCAUAUCGACGAAUGGGUUUACGACCUCGAUGUUGGAUCAGGACACCCAAAUGGUGCAGCCGCUAUUAAAGGUUCGUUUGUUCAACGAUUAAAGUCCUAC
rnacentral:rRNA from 1 species